rnacentral:pre_miRNA from 1 species
AUAGCUCAUCUCUCGUUCGAGUGUCAUAUGCUUGCCUAAGAUCGAUGAAGAAGACGCUUCACUUCUUCAUCGAUUUUAGGCAAGCUUAUGGCACUCGAACGAGAGAUGAGCUAUA